AUUGAACGCUGGCGGCAGGCUUAACACAUGCAAGUCGAACGAGAUCUUCGGAUCUAGUGGCAGACGGGUGAGGAACACGUGGGAACAUCCCUUUCAGUUCGAAAUAACGUUGGGAAACUAGCGCUAAUACCGGAUACGUCCUUCGGGAGAAAGAUUUAUCGCUGAAAGAUUGGCCCGCGUCUGAUUAGCUAGUUGGUGAGGUAACGGCUCACCAAGGCUACGAUCAGUAGCUGAUCUGAGAGGAUGAUCAGCCACAUUGGGACUGAGACACGGCCCAAACUCCUACGGGAGGCAGCAGUGGGGAAUAUUGGACAAUGGGCGCAAGCCUGAUCCAGCCAUGCCGCGUGAGUGAUGACGGCCUUCGGGUUGUAAAGCUCUUUUGUCCAGGAAGAUAAUGACUGUACCGGAAGAAUAAGCCCCGGCAAACUUCGUGCCAGCCGCCGCGGUAA
rnacentral:rRNA from 1 species